GGAUUAACGCUGGCGGCGUGCAUAACACAUGCAAGUCGAACGAUGAAACUUAAAUGAUUUCUUCGGAAUGAACUUAAGUGGAUUAGUGGCGGACGGGUGAGUAACGCGUGAGUAACCUGCCUUACACAAGGGGAUAGCCGUUGGAAACGACGAAUAAUACCCUAUGAAACUAUCACUUCGCAUGAAGCGAUAGUCAAAGUGUUAGCGGUGUAAGAUGGACUUGCGUCUGAUUAGCUAGUUGGUGAGAAAAAAGCCCACCAAGGCAACGAUCAGUAGCCGGCUUGAGAGAGUGGACGGCAACAUUGGGACUGAGACACGGCCCAGACUCCUACGGGAGGCAGCAGUGGGGAAUUUUGCACAAUGGGGGAAACCCUGAUGCAGCGACGCCGCGUGAUUUAGAAGGCCUUCGGGUUGUAAAAAUCUUUUGUAUAGGAAGAAAAUGACAGUACUAUACGAAUAAGGUCCGGCUAAUUACGUG
rnacentral:rRNA from 1 species